GGGGCAAAUAGUCGUAUAUGGAGUAAGGAUCCAGCAUAGACGUAGGAUAGUAUAAAGGGAGCAAGUCGGUUGUGGUGUGCCGAGACAGACGAUAUGGUAGGCCUGUAAAUAAAGAGGGCAAAAAUGAAUAAUCAAAGAUUUAAUACAGUCAACAAAUAUAUACAAAUUAACCAUUUCCUUAAAUGCAUUACAGUAAUUCCUGGAAGGAUUUUGAAGGUAGGAAUCUAGGACCGAAAGUGGACAACAUUUGUUGUGGGUAGAAUAGUAUGUUAUCUCUACUGUUGGUGCGUGUUGACUCGUUUCGGAAUGUGGUAGAGCCAAUAGGUAGUGAUCUAUGUGUUUACGUACGUGGGAUCGUUGAAGACAAUGAUCUGUCUAAGUGGUGGUGAUGGUAGUGGAUUCUCUGGCCUGAGAAAGGCAUAGAAGGCAAUGUGCAUGGCUGGUAAUGGCCGACUUGGUAGUAUAAUUGAAUGGUUGUAGAUCUAAUAGUUCCAAUAAGGAUGAAAAGUUGGAUGGCUAUUGGUAAUCUCUGAGAGGAACGUGGGGGAAUGGAUUUUAAUUGUCAUUUUAAGUUUAAGGCGGCAAAAAGAAACAAAACCUAGGAGAAAUGUUAUGACACAGGUUGAGCUAUGUCGUGUUCCAAUGAGAGUCUUUAAGACAGGUGAAAAGCUGUGUUAUGCAUUCUAAAAGUAUGGGACGAAAGUGCUAGGUGGGAUAGUGCAUGCUAUGCUGCAUGAGUAUGUCUAAUCUAUGAUUUUGUCUCUGGAACAAAAGAGUGUCCGUGACUGUAUGGGCGGCUGUAGGAAGCGUAUGAUGAACAUGCCUGGAAUAUAAAUGAGACAAUUGUCGGCAGGGAUGUAUACCCCCGCCUGGUACAUGAACGUAAAAGAAAUGUGAUAAGUUGCCAACCAAGUGAGUUCCCCAGAAUUAUCAUGACCUUAUGGAUGAGUAGUGACAUUUGUUGACGAUAUGACAUGUGCUUAGUUGUCUGAGUAACAACGGAUUGAUGAUCCUGACCAUGAUUUACCCCAUGCCACAGCAGAUGCUACAAUGGGGUAGAUCCCCCAAAGGGGCUGAGGUGGUGGAAAAAUUUCCAAACCUGGAUGCCAUGGCCAACAGCUCCAAAGCAAUCGCUCCCGGUAGAUCGCUGCCAAACCCGUGGUAGACGCCGCGUCUGACCAUCUGGUUGGAGAAGUGUCAGACAAUCCUGGAAGGAACAUGCUUUUACCAUGCCAAGUGGUUAAGAAAUCCCUCCCCAUGUGCAGGUCUGCUGUUGCUGGGGUGUCUAGGGAUAUCCUCUGAUCGUCAUGUUGCAAGUGUGGAAAAAAGGGGAAAGUACUCUGGAUGUGAAAGCGUGGUCUUGUGGUAUGAUUGGCAUGGCAAAAUUAAGGAACCUGGUAGGGAUUGAAGUUCCUUGCAGUUGUAAGUACUAAGCAGGAGGUAGUGAUUGAUGUUGUUGAGAAUGUUCCCUAUUUGUCUUG